GGUGUGACUGCGUACCUUUUGUAUAAUGGGUCAGCGACUUAUAUUCUGUAGCAAGGUUAACCGUAUAGGGGAGCCGCAGGGAAACCGAGUCUUAACUGGGCGUUAAGUUGCAGGGUAUAGACCCGAAACCCGGUGAUCUAGCCAUGGGCAGGUUGAAGGUUGGGUAACACUAACUGGAGGACCGAACCGACUAAUGUUGAAAAAUUAGCGGAUGACUUGUGGCUGGGGGUGAAAGGCCAAUCAAACCGGGAGAUAGCUGGUUCUCCCCGAAAGCUAUUUAGGUAGCGCCUCGUGAAUUCAUCUUCGGGGGUAGAGCACUGUUUCGGCUAGGGGGUCAUCCCGACUUACCAACCCGAUGCAAACUACGAAUACCGAAGAAUGUUAUCACGGGAGACACACGGCGGGUGCUAACGUCCGUCGUGAAGAGGGAAACAACCCAGACCGCCAGCUAAGGUCCCAAAGUCAUGGUUAAGUGGGAAACGAUGUGGGAAGGCACAGACAGCCAGGAUGUUGGCUUAGAAGCAGCCAUCAUUUAAAGAAAGCGUAAUAGCUCACUGGUCGAGUCGGCCUGCGCGGAAGAUGUAACGGGGCUAAACCAUGCACCGAAGCUGCGGCAGCGACACUAUGUGUUGUUGGGUAGGGGAGCGUUCUGUAAGCCUGCGAAGGUGGCCUGUGAGGGCUGCUGGAGGUAUCAGAAGUGCGAAUGCUGACAUAAGUAACGAUAAAGCGGGUGAAAAGCCCGCUCGCCGGAAGACCAAGGGUUCCUGUCCAACGUUAAUCGGGGCAGGGUGAGUCGACCCCUAAGGCGAGGCCGAAAGGCGUAGUCGAUGGGAAACAGGUUAAUAUUCCUGUACUUGGUGUUACUGCGAAGGGGGGACGGAGAAGGCUAUGUUAGCCGGGCGACGGUUGUCCCGGUUUAAGCAUGUAGGCGGAGGUUCCAGGUAAAUCCGGUACCUUUUAACGCUGAGGUGUGAUGACGAGGCACUACGGUGCUGAAGUAACAAAUGCCCUGCUUCCAGGAAAAGCCUCUAAGCAUCAGGUAACAUUAAAUCGUACCCCAAACCGACACAGGUGGUCAGGUAGAGAAUACCAAGGCGCUUGAGAGAACUCGGGUGAAGGAACUAGGCAAAAUGGUGCCGUAACUUCGGGAGAAGGCACGCUGGUGUGUAGGUGAAGUCCCUGCGGAUGGAGCUGAGACCAGUCGAAGAUACCAGCUGGCUGCAACUGUUUAUUAAAAACACAGCACUGUGCAAACACGAAAGUGGACGUAUACGGUGUGACGCCUGCCCGGUGCCGGAAGGUUAAUUGAUGGGGUUAUCCGUAAGGAGAAGCUCUUGAUCGAAGCCCCGGUAAACGGCGGCCGUAACUAUAACGGUCCUAAGGUAGCGAAAUUCCUUGUCGGGUAAGUUCCGACCUGCACGAAUGGCGUAAUGAUGGCCAGGCUGUCUCCACCCGAGACUCAGUGAAAUUGAACUCGCUGUGAAGAUGCAGUGUACCCGCGGCAAGACGGAAAGACCCCGUGAACCUUUACUAUAGCUUGACACUGAACAUUGAGCCUUGAUGUGUAGGAUAGGUGGGAGGCUUUGAAGCGUGGACGCCAGUCUGCGUGGAGCCAACCUUGAAAUACCACCCUUUAAUGUUUGAUGUUCUAACGUAGGCCCCUUAUCGGGGUUGCGGACAGUGUCUGGUGGGUAGUUUGACUGGGGCGGUCUCCUCCCAAAGAGUAACGGAGGAGCACGAAGGUUAGCUAAUCCUGGUCGGACAUCAGGAGGUUAGUGCAAUGGCAUAAGCUAGCUUGACUGCGAGCGUGACGGCGCGAGCAGGUGCGAAAGCAGGUCAUAGUGAUCCGGUGGUUCUGAAUGGAAGGGCCAUCGCUCAACGGAUAAAAGGUACUCCGGGGAUAACAGGCUGAUACCGCCCAAGAGUUCAUAUCGACGGCGGUGUUUGGCACCUCGAUGUCGGCUCAUCACAUCCUGGGGCUGAAGUAGGUCCCAAGGGUAUGGCUGUUCGCCAUUUAAAGUGGUACGCGAGCUGGGUUUAGAACGUCGUGAGACAGUUCGGUCCCUAUCUGCCGUGGGCGCUGGAGAAUUGAGGGGGGCUGCUCCUAGUACGAGAGGACCGGAGUGGACGCAUCACUGGUGUUCGGGUUGUCAUGCCAAUGGCACUGCCCGGUAGCUAAAUGCGGAAGAGAUAAGUGCUGAAAGCAUCUAAGCACGAAACUUGCCCCGAGAUGAGUUCUCCCUGAGACUUUAAGUCUCCUGAAGGAACGUUGAAGACGACGACGUUGAUAGGCCGGGUGUGUAAGCGCAGCGAUGCGUUGAGCUAACCGGUACUAAUGAACCGUGAGGCUUAACCUU
rnacentral:rRNA from 2 species